UACGUAGGGUGCGAGCGUUGUCCGGAAUUAUUGGGCGUAAAGGGCGCGUAGGCGGCCAUGCGUGUCUUCCGUGAAAUCCCUCGGCUUAACUGAGGACGUGCGGAAGAAACUGCAAGGCUCGAGUCCGGGAGAGGGGGGUGGAAUUCCCAGUGUAGCGGUGAAAUGCGUAGAUAUUGGGAGGAACACCGGUGGCGAAGGCGGCCCCCUGGACCGGUACUGACGCUGAGGCGCGAAAGCGUGGGUAGCAAACGGG
rnacentral:rRNA from 1 species